AUGUUUACUAAAAGGAUGCUUGUGAGGACAGAGUCAUGGGGCUUCUGUCUACUGGGACUAUUCCUUGAAACAAAUUCUCCCCUUCAAUCCAUUCAGGAUACACUCUUUCCUGCACCUUGGAGCCCGAUGUUCUUCUGUCUGCAGAACAGAUGUGGAAGACAGAAGAGUGAAUCGGUGGACAGAACCAGCUUUGCCAUCAGACAAUCCAGAAGUGAAUCUUCA
rnacentral:lncRNA from 1 species